UACGUAGGGUGCAAGCGUUGUCCGGAAUUAUUGGGCGUAAAGAGCUCGUAGGCGGUUUGUCGCGUCUGCUGUGAAAUCUUAGGGCUUAACCCUGAGCUUGCAGUGGGUACGGGCAGACUAGAGUGCGGUAGGGGAGACUGGAAUUCCUGGUGUAGCGGUGAAAUGCGCAGAUAUCAGGAGGAACACCGGUGGGCCGAAGG
rnacentral:rRNA from 1 species